rnacentral:SRP_RNA from 4 species
UGUUGGUUCUCCCGCAACGCUACUCUGUUUACCAGGUCAGGUCCGGAAGGAAGCAGCCAAGGCAGAUGACGCGUGUGCCGGGAUGUAGCUGGCAGAG